AUUGAACGCUGGCGGCAUGCCUUACACAUGCAAGUCGAACGGCAGCACGGGGCAACCUGGUGGCGAGUGGCGAACGGGUGAGUAAUGCAUCGGAACGUACCUUUCAGUGGGGGAUAACGUAGCGAAAGUUACGCUAAUACCGCAUAUUCUGUGAGCAGGAAAGCAGGGGAUCGCAAGACCUUGCGCUGAUUGAGCGGCCGAUGUCAGAUUAGCUAGUUGGUAAGGUAAGGGCUCACCAAGGCGACGAUCUGUAGCGGGUCUGAGAGGAUGAUCCGCCACACUGGAACUGCGACGCGGUCCAGCCUCCUACGGGAGGCAGCAGUGGGGAAUUUUGGACAAUGGGGGCAACCCUGAUCCAGCCAUGCCGCGUGAGUGAAGAAGGCCUUCGGGUUGUAAAGCUCUUUCGGCCGGGAAGAAAUCGCACGGGCUAAUACCCUGUGUGGAUGACGGUACCGGAAUAAGAAGCACCGGCUAACUACGUGCCAGCCGCCGCCGUAAUAC
rnacentral:rRNA from 1 species